rnacentral:rRNA from 1 species
ACUCCUACGGGAGGCAGCAGUGGGGAAUAUUGGACAAUGGGCGCAAGCCUGAUCCAGCCAUGCCGCGUGAGUGAUGAAGGCCUUAGGGUUGUAAAGCUCUUUUGUCCGGGAAGAUAAUGACUGUACCGGGAGAAUAAGCUCCGGCUAACUUCGUGCCAGCAGCCGCGGUAAU